rnacentral:rRNA from 1 species
CGCCUCCUGAUCAUCCAUAGGAGGUCCAGCCUGCCCAGUGACUAAGUUAAACGGCCGCGGUACCCUAACCGUGCAAAGGUAGCGCAAUCACUUGUUCUUUAAAUGAGGACUAGUAUGAACGGCAUCACGAGGGUUAUGCUGUCUCCCUACUCUACUCAGUGAAACUGAUCUCCCCGUGAAGAAGCGGGGAUAAAAAUAUAAGACGAGAAGACCCCAUGGAGCUUUAAACUCAGUACCAACUGCCCAAAUAAGAACCUACCACCCUUGCAGCCAUGGUUACUAGUUUUCGGUUGGGGUGACCACGGAGUAAAAUUAAACCUCCACGAUGAAAGGAACUAAUAACCUAACCUAUGAGCUACAGCUCUAAGUAUCAACAAAUUGACUAAUUGACCCAAUUACUUGAUCAACGAACCAAGUUACCCUGGGGAUAACAGCGCAAUCCAUUUCAAGAGCUCAUAUCGACAAAUGGGUUUACGACCUCGAUGUUGGAUCAGGGUAUCCCAGUGGCGCAGCCGCUACUAACGGUUCGUUUGUUCAACGAUUAAAACCCU